GUCGCGUUGACUCCGUCCCUGCCCUUUGUACACACCGCCCGUCGCUCCUACCGAUUGAAUGGUCCGGUGAAGUUUUCGGAUUGCGGCGACGCCGGCGGUUCGCCGCCGGUGACGUUGUGAGAAGUUCAUUAAACCUUAUCAUUUAGAGGAAGGAGAAGUCGUAACAAGGUUUCCGUAGGUGAACCUGCGGAAGGAUCAUUG
rnacentral:rRNA from 1 species